CUGCUGGUGCUGCUGCUGCUCUGCUCUCUCCAGCUGACCUCUAGUGCUCCAAUUGCAAUGGAGCAACACUCCUGCUGUCCCAGUUUGACUACCAUGAAGAUCCCUCUGGCCCAGGUGGAGUCCUACACAUGGACGAGCAGUGACUGCCACCUUAAAGCCAUUAUUUUUCAUACUAAAAAAGGAAAGGAGAUUUGUGUGGAUCCGGACACUGUGUGGGUCAGCAGUCAUGUUGCCGCUGUGGACAGACGCACACAAUGAUAUCACAGCGAGGACUUCAACUACAACUCCCACAAUGCUCUCACUUAAAAAGCUUCCAUAACUUAUUGUUUUGUAAAUGGACUCUCAGAGUGAAGAACACUGAAACACAGAAAACUCUUUGGACUCAAUUUUAUGUAAAUAUUUUUAUUUUAAUUUAUUUUUUGUAAUAAAAAUAUUUUUGUUAAAAUGUUUCAUUUGUUUAUUCUUAAGACAGAUAUCAUCAAUAUUGCUGAACAAGCACAAUAACACUUCAUAAACAGCUCUACACAGUGGUACUGUGACACCGAGGAGAGGAGGACAGUGUGUUAAAAUUAUACCUUUCUUGCAAAGAGAAACGCACGACAUCUAACAAUGAACAGGAACUCUUCACAGACUUUAUCUAUAUUCAUAUAAGCAUAAUGUUUUUGGUAGAUGGAAUGUAAGUGAAGGGUCAAAUGCUACUAUGUGAUUUAAUAGAAGUUUUUUUUAUCCUCAGUGUAAAUACCAAAACAAGAAAAAAAAGGAGGGGGCAAGAACUGAACCCUGGGGCACACCAUCAAUAACAAGCAUUAUGAAAAAUUGGUCCUUACCAAAUAAAUGUCUGUGUCAAAAGAUUUUUGAAUCACAAUACUGACCUAAACUUUUAUCACAGUUUACAGAAUUAUCACAAUAUUGUAAUAAAAAAACGACAUCUUUAA